UGUUUUUAUUUUAUUUAAACAUAUUCAUAGACAUCCACUUCAUGAGCUGACUAAAUUGAUAAAAAAUCUAAAAUAAUACCAAAUUUUCUAACUGGACACUUUUCAUGUAGAGCCUCUCUUGGUAUGUUUGUUUUAUGCCAUUACUGAUGUUGGUUUUCUUGUUUCUAAACAGAAAUCAAAAAACCAAAACGUGGCAGAGAAGGAAAUUCCUUCUACGUCUCAACACAGCGUCCCGGAGGUUUCUGUUGCUGCCACACCACCUAACCAUGAAAAUGGUAAAAAGAAGAGGAAGAAAAGAAAAUGGAGACACUUCUUCUGCUGUUUCUCGGAAACUGACAGCGAUACAGAGGCAGAGCCCACCACUGUAAAGCCACAAAAAAAGUCUCGCUGGUCUAUUUUCAAAUUCUGGAAGAGAAAAAGGCAGGUUGCUCCUGAAACAACAGUGGAACCUGAUAAAAAGAGUGACAAGUGAGGGAAACUUUCAUCUUCUCACUUUAAAGCAAAAUUCUUUUGGGAUCCUUCUGGUUGCAGAUUUGAUACUUAACAUCCUUUUGUAUAUUUUUG
rnacentral:lncRNA from 1 species